GCAUAUAAGUAAGCGGAGGAAAAGGAACUAAACAGGAUUCCCUUAGUAAUGGUGAACGAACAGGGAUCAGCUUGGGUUGGAAACCGGGGCUUCUGCCUUGGAUUGCGGCCUUUAGACAUACUACCAACGGCGGCGCGAGCGAAAGCCUCUUGGAACAGUGCGUCUACGUGGGUGAGAAUCCUGUGUUUCGCUUGAUGCCCGCCGUGCACGGUACUUGCUCUCAGAGUCACGCUCCUCGGAAUUGGAGCGUAAAUUGGGUGGUAAAUUUCAUCUGAAGCUAAAUACAGGCUCGAGACCGAUAGCAAACAAGUACCAUGAGGGAAAGAUGAAAAGGACUUUGAAAAGAGAGUUAAAAGUGCUUGAAAUCGCUGAACUGGAAGCGAAUGGAACUAGUGCUCUGGUUGAGAUUGCUGCAAGUGGCUGCGACAUCUGGGCUCUGGAACGCAAGUCCUUUGUCUGGUUUGAAGUAGUUGCUUGUAAUGUGUCUCAGCUUGAACAUCAGCGUCUAUGCAUACGUGAGGAUGGCCCUUAGCUCAUGCUGUGUUGCUGUGGCGAUACUCUUGUGCUUUUGGGAUUCAGGUGUGUGUGGAUUGUUGAUCAAUUAGUUCCAUUCGACCCGUCUUGAAACACGGACCAAGGAG
rnacentral:rRNA from 1 species